rnacentral:rRNA from 1 species
CCUACGGGUGGCAGCAGUGAGGAAUAUUGGUCAAUGGGCGCAAGCCUGAACCAGCCAAGUAGCGUGAAGGAUGACGGCCCUACGGGUUGUAAACUUCUUUUAUAAGGGAAUAAAGUGAGUCACGUGUGCCUUUUUGUAUGUACUUUAUGAAUAAGGAUCGGCUAACUCCGUGCCAGCAGCCGCGGUAAUACGGAGGAUCCGGGCGUUAUCCGGAUUUAUUGGGUUUAAAGGGAGCGUAGGUGGGUUGUUAAGUCAGUUGUGAAAGUUUGCGGCUCAACCGGAAAAUUGCAAUUGAUACUGGCAGGCUUGAGUACAGUUGAGGUAGGCGGAAUUCGUGGUGUAGCGGUGAAAUGCUUAGAUAUGACGAAGAACUCCGAUUGCGAAGGCAGCUUACUAAACUGCCACUGACAUUGAUGCUCGAAAGUGUGGGUAUCAAACAGGAUUAGAUACCCGUGUAGUC